GAUGAAGAACGUAGCGAAAUGCGAUAAGUAAUGUGAAUUGCAGAAUUCAGUGAAUCAUCGAAUCUUUGAACGCACAUUGCGCCCGUCAGUAUUCUGGCGGGCAUGCCUGUUCGAGCGUCAUUACGCCCCUCAAGUCCCCUGUGGACUUGGUGUUGGGGAUCGGCGAGGCUGGUUUUCCAGCACAGCCGUCCCUUAAAUUAAUUGUCGGUCUCGCCGUGGCCCUCCUCUGCGCAGUAGUAAAACACUCGCAACAGGAGCCCGGCGCGGGCCACUGCCGUAAAACCCCCCAACUUUUUAUAGUUGACCUCGAAUCAGGUAGGACUACCCGCUGAACUUAAGCAUAUCAAUAAGCGGAGGA
rnacentral:misc_RNA from 1 species